AACGAACGCUGGCGGCAGGCUUAACACAUGCAAGUCGAACGCCCCGCAAGGGGAGUGGCAGACGGGUGAGUAACGCGUGGGAACAUACCCUUUCCUGCGGAAUAGCUCCGGGAAACUGGAAUUAAUACCGCAUACGCCCUACGGGGGAAAGAUUUAUCGGGGAAGGAUUGGCCCGCGUCAGAUUAGCUAGUUGGUGGGGUAAAGGCCUACCAAGGCGACGAUCCAUAGCUGGUCUGAGAGGAUGAUCAGCCACAUUGGGACUGAGACACGGCCCAAACUCCUACGGGAGGCAGCAGUGGGGAAUAUUGGACAAUGGGCGCAAGCCUGAUCCAGCCAUGCCGCGUGAGUGAUGAAGGCCUUAGGGUUGUAAAGCUCUUUCACCGAUGAAGAUAAUGACGGUAGUCGGAGAAGAAGCCCCGGCUAACUUCGUGCCAGCAGCCGCCGCCG
rnacentral:rRNA from 1 species